rnacentral:sRNA from 10 species
CGAUGGUGGCGUUUUUGGGGACAGGUGUCCGUGUCCGUGUCGCGCGUCGCCUGGGCCGGCGGCGUGGUCGGUGACGCGACCUCCCGGCCCCGGGGG